rnacentral:rRNA from 1 species
UACGUAGGGGGCGAGCGUUGUCCGGAGUUACUGGGCGUAAAGCGCACGCAGGCGGUCUGUUAAGUUUGGAGUGACAGUUGGUGGCUUAACUGCCAAAGUGCUUCGAAAACUGACAGACUUGAGGGCUUCAGAGGGACACGGAAUUCCGGGUGGAGUGGUGAAAUGCGCAGAUAUCGGGAAGAACACCCGUGGCGAAGGCGGUUCUCUGGGACGGUACUGACGCUGAGACGCGAAAGCGUGGGGAGCGAACAGG